CACUCACGUCACAUGUCAUGAAGACAUUUGAGAGGCUGGUUCUCUAGCACCUGAGGACCCUGCUCACUGCUUUCUAGGAUCCGUUGCAGUUUGCAUAUCAGAGGCACAUUGGUGUUCUCUUGGAUCUCCAGGAGGUUCACUUGGAUCUUCAGGAGGUUCUGUUGGAUCUUCAGGAGGUUCUGGUAGUUUGAGUUGAAGAUGUUUUGAUCAUAAAUAAAGCUAAAGGGAGUUAUUUCUGUGUGAUGAUGUUUGAUUUGACUUGU